AGGCGGCAGGCUUAACACAUGCAAGUCGAACGCCCCGCAAGGGGAGUGGCAGACGGGUGAGUAACGCGUGGGAACGUACCUUUCGCUUCGGAAUAUUCCCGGGAAACUGGGAGCAAUGCCGAAUACGCCGUAUUGGGAAAGAUUUAUCGGCGAAAGAUCGGCCCGCGUUAGAUUAGGUAGUUGGCGGUGUAAUGGACCACCAAGCCUACGAUCUAUAGCUGGUCUGAGAGGAUGAUCAGCCACACUGGGACUGAGACACGGCCCAGACUCCUACGGGAGGCAGCAGUGGGGAAUCUUGGACAAUGGGCGCAAGCCUGAUCCAGCCAUGCCGCGUGAGUGAAGAAGGCCUUAGGGUUGUAAAACUC
rnacentral:rRNA from 1 species